CAUUUUUCAGGACAUUUCGAUAAAAUUGGUAAAGAGAAAAUUAGCAUAACCUCUGCACAAGGAUGACAUAUUUAAAUUGAUAAAAUAGUCCAAUUUUU